GGUGCUAUAGUGUAGUGGUUAUCACUCGGGAUUUUGAUUCCCGAAACCCAGGUUCGAACCCUGGUAGCACCU
rnacentral:tRNA from 6 species